ACAGCAUGGUAGAGUUCUGUGAGAGUGAUGAAGGAGAGGCAUGGUCCUUAGCUAGAGACAGAGGCGGAAACCAGUACCUCCGACAUGAAGAUGAACAAGCUCUUCUGGAUCAGAAUUCUCAAACUCCUCCUCCAAGCCCUUUCUCAGUGCAAGCUUUUAAUAAAGGGGCAAGUUGCAGUGCCCAAGGAUUUGAUUAUGGACUCGGAAAUAGCAAAGGUAGGUAUUUAAAAGUAAGUCUUUUACUUACCUAACUUCAAUAUUUUUUAUUACCUUCUCUUUUAUACACUUUUUAUUUGUGUUCACCCAGAAAUCUUUAUUAAAUUAAAAUUUGUUCAUGGAAAGCUAAUAAAAAAUGUUUACAAAG
rnacentral:lncRNA from 1 species